GACGAACGCUGGCGGCGUGCCUAAUACAUGUAAGUAGAACGCUGAAGGAGGAGCUUGCUUCUCUGGAUGAGUUGCGAACGGGUGAGUAACGCGUAGGUAACCUGCCUGGUAGCGGGGGAUAACUAUUGGAAACGAUAGCUAAUACCGCAUAAUAGUAGAUGUUGCAUGACAUUUGCUUAAAAGGUGCAAUUGCAUCACUACCAGAUGGUCCUGCGUUGUAUUAGCUAGUUGGUGGGGUAACGGCUCACCAAGGCGACGAUACAUAGCCGACCUGAGAGGGUGAUCGGCCACACUGGGACUGAGACACGGCCCAGACUCCUACGGGAGGCAGCAGUAGGGAAUCUUCGGCAAUGGACGGAAGUCUGACCGAGCAACGCCGCGUGAGUGAAGAAGGUUUUCGGAUCGUAAAGCUCUGUUGUAAGAGAAGAACGAGUGUGAGAGUGGAAAGUUCACACUGUGACGGUAUCUUACCAGAAAGGGACGGCUAACUACGUG
rnacentral:rRNA from 1 species